rnacentral:rRNA from 1 species
GAUCACCUACGGGAGGCAGCAGUGAGGAAUAUUGGUCAAUGGCCGGAAGGCUGAACCAGCCAAGUCGCGUGAGGGAAUAAGGCCCUAUGGGUCGUAAACCUCUUUUGUCAGGGAGCAAAGGCGUCCACGUGUGGACGAGAGGAGAGUACCUGAAGAAAAAGCAUCGGCUAACUCCGUGCCAGCAGCCGCGGUAAUACGGAGGAUGCGAGCGUUAUCCGGAUUUAUUGGGUUUAAAGGGUGCGCAGGCGGAGGCACAAGUCAGCGGUAAAAUCGCGGGGCUCAACCCCGCUCCGCCGUUGAAACUG